rnacentral:rRNA from 1 species
UACGUAGGGGGCAAGCGUUGUCCGGAUUCAUUGGGCGUAAAGAGCUCGUAGGCGGUUCAGUAAGUCGGGUGUGAAAGCUCCGAGCUCAACUCGGAGAGGCCACCCGAUACUGCUGUGACUUGAGUCCAGUAGAGGAGCGUGGAAUUCCUGGUGUAGCGGUGAAAUGCGCAGAUAUCAGGAGGAACACCGGUGGCGAAGGCGGGUCUCUGGACCGAUACUGACACUGAGGAGCGAAAGCGUGGGGAGCGAACAGG